CUGACCGGUACGCAUGGGUCGACGUUUGAAUAGACGAGCCCGUUCCAAAUGCUCUAAAAUAGAGCAUCUGGAUGCGUUAUUGUCAG
rnacentral:ncRNA from 1 species